UCAUGUAUUAAAAGGGAUAUCUUAUACAUAUAGUCAAGCACAACCUCUAAUCCUCAAAGUCAUUACAUGACUAAAACUGUACUUCUACAUAACAUUAAUACAUUUAUCAUGUCCACACUAUCUAUUACAUACACAUGACUUCAUUACUCUUACGGAUCUCUUGGUCUACCCUGUACCUGCAAUCCUGGGGAAAAUGGGAGAGGGGUGAGCUACUAGAGCCCAGUGAGUAGAAUAAUAAAAACAUUUAAAUCAUAUGGCAUCAUGAAAUGCAUCACAUCACAGCUAAUCACAUCAAGGAUGAACUUGUCACCAACAGCCCUCUAUAUAGUCCAACUGUGCCAGAACGUAGAAUGGGUCCUGGUCUUUCUCUUACAUAACAUAGCAUGUCAUAAUAGUCCAACUGUGCCAGAACGUAGAAUGGGUCCUGGUCUUUCCCUUACAUGGUGCCCGCGAACGUAGAAUGGGUCCCACUGGUCUUACAUUCCGUACUGUACAUAUCACAUCGUCAUAUCAUAUAUCGAGGGCUUUGGAUCAUCCAACGUUCAUCCACAUCAAUCAACAAUAAAGUAUGCAAUGCAACAUAUUCGUGAAUUCUAAUGCAAACAACCUAGUACAUCCCAUGGCAUUCAUGAUGCAUGAAACAUGCUAAAAAGUCCAUUAUUUGCUUUAAAACAUAAUGAGUUAUUCCACUCACCUCUGGGUAGCUCUGACCAGACACUGGAGCAGCUGACUCACUGCUGGGGUCCUCGGUUCCUCGGGUCCGAACCUACACAGGUGGACUCAAAUGAGGGACCAAACAAACAUGAACAUAACUCUAAACUACUCCCCAAAAA
rnacentral:lncRNA from 1 species